GCGACGAUGCGUAGGGGUUCUGAGAGGAAGGUCCCCCACACUGGUACUGAGACACGGACCAGACUCCUACGGGAGGCAGCAGUGAGGAAUAUUGGUCAAUGGCCGCAGGGCUGAACCAGCCAAGUCGCGUGAGGGAUGACGGUCCUAUGGAUUGUAAACCUCUUUUGUCAGGGAGCAAAGGGCGCCACGUGUGGCGCUUUGCGAGUACCUGAAGAAAAAGCAUCGGCUAACUCCGUGCCAGCAGCCGCGGUAAUACGGAGGAUGCGAGCGUUAUCCGGAUUUAUUGGGUUUAAAGGGUGCGCAGGCGGAAUGUCAAGUCAGCGGUAAAAUUUCGGGGCUCAACCCCGUCGUGCCGUUGAAACUGGCGUUCUUGAGUGAGCGAGAAGUAUGCGGAAUGCGUGGUGUAGCGGUGAAAUGCAUAGAUAUCACGCAGAACUCCGAUUGCGAAGGCAGCAUACCGGCGCUCAACUGACGCUCAUGCACGAAAGCGUGGGUAUCGAACAGGAUUAGAUACCCUGGUAGUCCACGCAGUAAACGAUGAAUACUAACUGUCCGGGCAGAAUGAUGCCUGG
rnacentral:rRNA from 1 species